GCCCGUUCCUAGCUCAGCUGUUAGAGCAUGGUGCCGAUAAUGCUAAGGUUGCAGGUUCAAUCCCCAUAUAGGGCA